rnacentral:rRNA from 1 species
GAUGAACGCUGGCGGCGUGCCUAAUACAUGCAAGUCGAGCGAACGGACGAGAAGCUUGCUUCUCUGAUGUUAGCGGCGGACGGGUGAGUAACACGUGGAUAACCUACCUAUAAGACUGGGAUAAAUUCGGGAAACCGGAGCUAAUACCGGAUAAUAUUUUGAACAGCAUGGUUCAAAAGUGAAAGACGGUCUUGCUGUCACUUAUAGAUGGAUCCGCGCUGCAUUAGCUAGUUGGUAAGGUAACGGCUUACCAAGGCAACGAUGCAUAGCCGACCUGAGAGGGUGAUCGGCCACACUGGAACUGAGACACGGUCCAGACUCCUACGGGAGGCAGCAGUAGGGAAUCUUCCGCAAUGGGCGAAAGCCUGACGGAGCAACGCCGCGUGAGUGAUGAAGGUCUUCGGAUCGUAAAACUCUGUUAUUAGGGAAGAACAUAUGUGUAAGUAACUGUGCACAUCUUGACGGUACCUAAUCAGAAAGCCACGGCUAACUACGUG